rnacentral:lncRNA from 10 species
AGAAUGGGGUCUGGGCCACACGGCUGGCAGAGCAGUGUGGGGACUGUGGGUGCCCCAUGUGGAAGGGGAGCUUGUCUGCUCCCUAGCGUGACUGUGUGUGUGUGUGUGUGUGUGUGUGUUGGGGGUGGGAGGUGCCUGUGUGUGGCAGAGGUGCUUGUCUGCUCCCUAGUGUGACUGCGUAUGUGUACGUGUAUGUGUAUAUGUGCCUGCAUGUGGCAGGGGAGCUUGUCUGCUAGCUUGUGUGGCUGUAUGAGUGUGUGAUAGGAGGCUGUAGGGUCAGGCCGUGUCUCUGGAGUUACCUUGUUAGAGCACCAAACACCAGGAGCGGCUCUGAUGCCCUUGAUGAGAGCAUAACCUGAGACUCCGUGUGUAUAAGUGACGUCAAGGAAUAUGUAUUUGAAGUACAUUCUUAACGCCUUAUUACUUCCAUGAAAAUCAGGUUGAUUGCUAGGAAGCUGAAUUCAUGAAGAAUGAAACUCUGCUCAGUGACAGGUGAGGAGGCAGAGGGACUUCCUGUCAACUCCUCCAGGUGGCUGUCACUGCCUGCUACU